UGCCCAGACUCCUACGGGAGGCAGCAGUGGGGAAUAUUGCGCAAUGGGCGAAAGCCUGACGCAGCGACGCCGCGUGAGGGAUGAAGGUCUUCGGAUCGUAAACCUCUGUCAGCAGGGAAGAACGGUCACUGUGCUAAUCAGCAGUGAAUUGACGGUACCUGCAAAGGAAGCCCCGGCUAACUACGUGCCAGCAGCCGCGGUAAUACGUAGGGGGCAAGCGUUAUCCGGAUUUACUGGGUGUAAAGGGGGCGCAGACGGCGAUGCAAGCCAGGAGUGAAAGCCCGGGGCCCAACCCCGGGACUGCUCUUGGAACUGCGUGGCUGGAGUGCAGGAGGGGCAGGCGGAAUUCCUGGUGUAGCGGUGAAAUCCGUAGAUAUCUGGAGGAACAUCAGUGGCGAAGGCGACUAUCUGGCACAUAACUGACGCUGAGGAGCGAAAGCGUGGGUAGCAAACAGGAUUAGAUACCCCAGUA
rnacentral:rRNA from 1 species